GGACUCUCCUCUGGGUUCAUGUUUGUACUGGGUGGAAUCGGAAUUGUGCUGAUGGACCUUGCUCUUGAUCGGAAUCGCGCGAAGAGUGUCAAGGUUUCGUAUGCGUCUGCUGGGAUUUCUUCUGUUGUUAUUGCCUAUGUUAUGAGUAUGCUUUUCAUUCGUAUUAAGAUCCCUGCUUACCUUCGUUGACAUAUAGUAGAGAAAUUUAGGAUCUACAUCGGGUUACUUGAAACUCCCUUUUGUCUCGAGGAAUGGAAGAACUUCUU
rnacentral:misc_RNA from 1 species